rnacentral:rRNA from 1 species
GAUGAACGCUGGCGGCGUGCCUAAUACAUGCAAGUCGAGCGAACGGACGAGAAGCUUGCUUCUCUGAUGUUAGCGGCGAACGGGUGAGUAACACGUGGAUAACCUACCUAUAAGACUGGGAUAACUUCGGGAAACCGGAGCUAAUACCGGAUAAUAUUUUGAACCGCAUGGUUCAAAAGUGAAAGACGGUCUUGCUGUCACUUAUAGAUGGAUCCGCGCUGCAUUAGCUAGUUGGUAAGGUAACGGCUUACCAAGGCAACGAUGCAUAGUCGACCUGAGAGGGUGAUCGGCCACACUGGAACUGAGACACGGUCCAGACUCCUACGGGAGGCAGCAGUAGGGAAUCUUCCGCAAUGGGCGAAAGCCUGACGGAGCAACGCCGCGUGAGUGAUGAAGGUCUUCGGAUCGUAAAACUCUGUUAUUAGGGAAGAACAUAUGUGUAAGUAACUGUGCACAUCUUGACGGUACCUAAUCAGAAAGCCACGGCUAACUACGUG